GACCUCUUGGCGCAGUGGUAGCGCGUGAGAUUCCAGUCCGAUGUGAUUUGCCUUAGGUAGAUCACGUGGUACAUCCUCAAGGUCAUCCGUUCAAGUCGGGUAGGGGUCA